GAUCGAGACAAUUACACAUGAAGGCCCCAGAACUGUUAGCCAUUACUCCCACCCAUAACCCAGAGACCUCGACACUUAACCUCUGCCAUGGUUCACUUGAUUGGCCCAACGGCCUCACACGCAGAGGGUUCUGGAGGUGACACCAAAAGACCCAAAUAGUUCUGUUAUGGGUCUGGCUAAUGGGCUGAUAAUCUGUCUGUCUGUUGCUAAGAUUUGGAUUGGUGUGAUUUUGUAAGAGUUUCACAGGACAUUUUGUGGUUGGAAUAACUUAUGAAUAACUUGGAAUCAAAAAUAUAUGACUAAAGUAUGACAUUACAGUGAAUGACUUUACACAACUUGAGCUAAAUCAUGUAUUCAGAACAAUAUCCACAACAGCUCUGAAAAAGUGGCAUAUUUACUGGAAGAUUCUCUGAGAUCAACUGGUUGUUGUUGCCAAUAUGUUAAAACAAUUUUGUGUGCUUCUGCUGAAAUUCCACAAGGAAUUCUUCCACUAAACUACACAACGGGCAACAUUUACAGUGGCUCUCCAAUGUCACUGAGCCACGGGGCCAGCGAGGGCAAGUCCUGUUUGUCAAACAUCGCGUGACACCAGCUCCUGAAGAGCAGCCCAGCCCAGCCCUGCUGAAAACCCCCUUACAACCCAACCCAGCCCGCACUUGUAAUGCCUCUUUCUUUCCAGCAAUAGCUGUGCUUUCUGUCAGGGAAAUGACAGAUCCCCACUGAAAUAUUCAACCUUCCCCCCAUAAUUUCCACAUUGGAGGCACGCAAGCUUUUUUGAACAUUUGCCUUGCAAAACAAUUCUUCCCACCGAAGCACAUGGCAAGCGCCGCCACAGUUCCCACCGGCAGACAGAUCGGGUGUCUAUUGUGUGAGAUUCUCUUGUAAAAAAAGAAUAAGUGAUAUUUUCCCUGGCCCUCGCGUCUUGAUCUUCAAAAGCGUAAUUACAACGGAACAAAUAGGCUCAAAGCGACAAUGCUGUUUUUGCACCAUUUCAGUGCUUUCUUGUGGUGUCGUCCCUAAAAACAGUCCUAUAUUUGUCUUCAGUGCUGCCUAUUAGUGUGUCUGUCUUCUUUAUGGCUUCUUAAUUAUGGAUGCCUGGAAUGUUUUGUCAAGGUUUAAGUGGUAUUAUCAGAGCUUUCUCACAAUCACACCCAACUUGACAGUUAGAAAGCCAUGAAUUAAAUAUUCAACUAGAGUAUCUCUUUGUGUACAUGUAUGAUAUACACUCUAUAUACAAAAGUAUGUGGACACCCCUUCAAAUGAGCAUAUUUGGUUAUUUCAGCCACACCUGUUGCUGACAGGUAUCUACAAAUCUAGCACGCCGCCAUGCAAUCUCCAUAGACAAACAUUGGCAGUAGAAUGGCCUUACUGAAGAACUCAGUGACUUUCAACGUGGCACCGUCAUUGGAUGCCACCUUCCCAACAAAUCCGUUCGUCAAAUUUCUGCCCUGCUAGAGGGGCCCCGGUCAACUGUAAGUGCUGUUAUUGAGAAGUGGAAACGUCUAGGAGCAGCAAUGGCUGAGGCUAAAUGGUAAGCCACACAAGCUCACAGAAUGGGAGUGUUGAAGCGCGUAGCGGGUGAAAAUUGUCUGUCCUUGUUUCCAAACUGCCUCUGCGAGCAAAGUCAGCACAAGAACUGUUUGUUGGGAGAUUCAUGAAAUGGGUUCCCAUGGCCGAGCAGCCACACACAAGCCUAAGAUCACCAUGUGCAAUGCCAAGCGUCGGCUGGAGUGGUGUAAAGUUCGCCACCAUUGGACUCUGGAGCAGUGGAAACUCGUUCUUUGGAGUGAUGAAUCACACUUCACCAUCAGGCAGUCCGACGGACGAAUCUGGGUUUGGUGGAUGCCAAGAGAACGCAGCAAAGGGGGACCAACUCCAUUUAAUGCCCAUGAUUUUGGAAUGAGACGUUCGACGAGCAGGAGUCCACAUACUUUUGGUCAUAUUAUGAGUUUAAGUUUGUUUUGUAUUAGAAAAUUGAGCAGACUUCAUAUUUUUUUAAAGGAAAACAAUUAUCUAUACGGAGUGAUCUACACACACAAGUGUGUGUGUUGGUUUGGACAACUUAUGAGCUACUGUGAAAUGUAAAACUUCUGUGUUGGAUGUUUUUUCUAACACAGUUAUAUGUCAGACCAUGCAACAUCCUUCUGUAGGUGGCACUGACACUAAAUGUCAGGACUAAACACUGUCACAGCAACCUUAUCUUUCACACCACUUGUGAAAUAUAAUUUGUGAAAUAUAAUUUUCAUCUUCCCCAAUCCUCUACAGAAUUUAGGGACAAUGACACAAAGCCAUUUGAACCGGACAGAGGUUUGAUUUUGUCUGUAAACGCGGUUGUGUCAUGAACCGAGCACUCACAGCUCCGGAGUGACAUGCGGCUAAAGUCUCUGGCACGCAGCAAGGCACCACUUUCAGACCACUUCAGUUUUCAUUCCAUUUGAAUGACGCUGUUAUUGCAUCCGACUCCUUGUAAGGCAAGUGCAGGCACUCUUGCAGAAUAAUCUCCCGCGCUCAAAUGGCUGCCUUGUCUGGGGAGCUGGGGGCGCUGCUAAUAGUGUUAAAGCACUUUAUCCAUGACUGUGAGGGGAAAUGAUUUAAGUAGGGGAGGACAGGCAUACCCAGUUGAUAACAUCAAUAAUUAACGUCGCGGAGGAAGUCGGAGAAGCUGGAGUUCGCGUCGUCUUAUGCCUGCCCGUCCCGGUCACUACCUCCUGACCGCCUCAGAACCUUUCUCUCUCUCUCUCUCUCUCUGAAGAGCCUGUGGUGCUGCUGAGUUGACCUCCCUGUCACCUCUUCCCUCUGGUGAAGGGUUCAGGGAGUUCUUUACACCCCACCAAAUAAUGUAACAGACCAACAUAGAGAGGGAUGGAGAGAUGGGGCAAAGAGAAGGGAAGAGAGAGGCUAAGAGAGGUCAGGGGAUGGAGAGAGGGGCAAAGAGAAGGGAAGAGAGAGGCUAAGAGAGGUCAGGGGAUGGAGAGAUGGGGCAAAGAGAAGGGAAGAGAGAGGCUAAGAGAGGUCAGGGGAUGGAGAGAUGGGGCAAAGAGAAGGGAAGAGAGAGGCUAAGAGAGGUCAGGGAAUGGAGAGAUGGGGCAAAGAGAAGGGAAGAGAGAGGCUAAGAGAGGUCAGGGAAUGGAGAGAUGGGGCAAAGAGAAGGGAAGAGAGAGGCUAAGAGAGGUCAGGGGAUGGAGAGAUGGGGCAAAGAGAAGGGAAGAGAGAGGCUAAGAGAGGUCAGGGGAUGGAGAGAUGGGGCAAAGAGAAGGGAAGAGAGAGGUCAGGGGAUGGAGAGAUGGGGCAAAGAGAAGGGAAGAGAGAGGUCAGGGGAUGGAGAGAUGGGGCAAAGAGAAGGGAAGAGAGAGGUCAGGGGAUGGAGAGAUGGGGCAAAGAGAAGGGAAGAGAGAGGUCAGGGGAUGGAGAGAUGGGGCAAAGAGAAGGGAAGAGAGAGGUCAGGGGAUGGAGAGAUGGGGCAAAGAGAAGGGAAGAGAGAGGUCAGGGGAUGGAAAGCCAAGAGAGUGGCAGGGUAAACUAGGCCUUUGACUGACACCUCAACAUUUUGAACUGUUGUGACUGUAUCCUUUAUGUGUCUGCUGCUGCGGCCGGCUCCCAUUGGGACAACAGUUUCUACCAGGCCAUGGCCCCUGUCUCAACUCACAACUUUCUUGGGGCUCUCUCAAUGUGCAGAGUACAUACACAGUCCAGCUACUCCAGUUAUCCUGGUAAAUGUCAGCAGAAAUACCUUUAAAUUAACGUCUGUUAUUUGUUACCAACAUGCCCUGGAAGACCAUAGAAAAUAUUCAAUUAAUAUAAAAAAUCUUAACAAUGAG